GGGCUUGCGUUCAAUUAGCUAGUUGGUGGGGUAAUGGCCUACCAAGGCGAUGAUUGGUAGCUGGUCUGAGAGGAUGUCCAGCCAGAUGGGGACUGAGACACGGCCCUAACUCCUACGGGAGGCAGCAGCAAGGAAUAUUGGGCAAUGGGCGAGAGCCUGACCCAGCGACACCGCGUGAGGGAAGAAGGCCUUCGGGUUGUAAACCUCUUUUCUCGGGGAAGUGACAGUACCCGAGGAAUAAGUCUCGGCCAACUACGUGCCAGCAGCCGCGGUAAUACGUAGGAGGCGAACGUUAUCCGGAUUUACUGGGCGUAAAGCGGGUGUAGGCGGUUUUCUAAGUCAGGUGUGAAAUCUUCUGACUCAAUCAGAAGGGGUCAUUUGAUACUGGAGAACUUGAGGGCGGCAGAAGGAAAUGGAAUUCCCAGUGUAGCGGUGAAAUGCGUAGAU
rnacentral:rRNA from 1 species